rnacentral:rRNA from 1 species
CCGGCGCACGGGUGAGUAACACGUAUCCAACCUGCCGUCUACUCUUGGACAGCCUUCUGAAAGGAAGAUUAAUACAAGAUGGCAUCAUGAGUCCGCAUGUUCACAUGAUUAAAGGUAUUCCGGUAGACGAUGGGGAUGCGUUCCAUUAGACAGUAGGCGGGGUAACGGCCCACCUAGUCUUCGAUGGAUAGGGGUUCUGGGAGGAAGGUCCCCCACAUUGGAACUGAGACACGGUCCAA